CAAUUCAGCCCGGGGAAGUUCCAUCCCGGAAUAUAUACAUCAACUGACCAUCAGUCACUCAGUACUGGGUAGAGCCAAUCCAACCCGCGGGAAAGAUCCAUCCCCAGAUCCUAGUUGUUUGGAGGCCUGUCCUAAAGGGAAAGCAUUAUUGAAGAGUUGAUUUAUUCAGAAAAGAGAUCCCGGGAUUGGUCCCAGUAGAGUCCCCAGAGGUGCUUAGCUUGGACAUCUAGGUGAUUCGAGGUAGUUUUGCAUUUCCAUCCGCAGGCUCUAAAGUCGCCUUCAUUAUCUUUAUUACUUUUAAUUUGUAUAAGACAAUAUUGUAUUUUAUUUCAGACUUUGUAUUUAGUAUUCGUUAGAGCUCAUGUACUCUGUGACACCAGUCUUGGGGAUUUAUUUAGACUGUAUAUUGGUUUAGACUUAUUAUGUGAUUUCAGAGCUUUUACCCUUA